rnacentral:rRNA from 1 species
AUUGAACGCUGGCGGCAGGCCUAACACAUGCAAGUCGAACGAGUGGCGGACGGGUGAGUAAUGUUGGGGAAACUGCCCGAUGGAGGGGGAUAACUACUGGAAACGGUAGCUAAUACAGCAUACCAUCGGCUUUGCCCAGAUGGGAGUAGCUAGUAGGGUGGGUAACGGCUCACCUCGGCGACGAUGCCUAGCUGGUCCGAGAGGAUGACAAGCCACACUGGAACGUAGACACGGUCCAGACUCCUACGGGAUGCAGCAGUGGGGAAUAUGGCACAAGGGGCGAAAGCCUGAUGCAGCCAUGCCGCGUGUAUGAAGAGGGCCUUCGGGUUGUAAAGUACUUUCAGCGAGGACGCGUUACUCGCAGAAGAAGCACCGGCUAACUCCGUGCCAGCAGCCGCGGUAAUAC